UGGUUUAGAUGGGUGGCACAGUGGUGUAGUGGUUAGCACUGUCGCCUCACAGCCAGAAGGUCCUGGGUUUGAAUCCGGGUCAGGGCAUUUCUUGUUUUAGGAACAUUAUGAACAGUGAACAUACCAGUUUAAACACAAAUAAAAGUUCAUAAAAGACACGUAGCAGUAAAAGUUUUGGUGUGAAUCACAAUAUAAGGGGGGACAUGAGCUGCUUGGCGGAGGUCUGCGCUCUUUGAGUGCUU